UCCAAACAGUAAAAUUAAGAGAUUGUGUGUGGGGAGCCGCCUAUACUGCCCCUCACUGUACACAUAUGGAAUGGCAGAGUCACAUUUAACAGCACUGUAACAUAUCACUGCAAACACGGUUACUAUCUGAAACAAGGACUUAAUAUAUCUGUGUGCGCUGAGAGUGGUUACUGGACAAAACCAACACUGUUGUGUGAAGAGGUGAACUGUGGAGUACCGCCCUCUCUCCCCCUCUCUGUUAUGAUAUGGAGAGGAGACACUAAAGUUGGGUCUAGUGUGUCUUAUAAGUGCAUUGAGGGAUUUUAUAAUAUUAGGAAAGGAGAUACGUUAGUGUGCUAUUCAGAGGGAAUCUGGAGUCAUCCUGAUUUUCUGU